CAAUAGCGUAUAUUAAAGUUGUUGCAGUUAAAAAGCUCGUAGUUGGAUUUCUGGUCGGAAGCUCCUGUCCUCUGAUGAGCGUACAAGUGCGUCCUACCAUCCUUCUGUUAACCUUUAAGGCUUUCGCGGCUUUCUAGGGGCUCAGAUAUUUUACCUUGAGAAAAUUAGAGUGUUUCAGGCAGGCUAGCGCCGGAAUACAUUAGCAUGGAAUAAUGGAAUAGGACUUUUGCCUCUUCUGUUGGUCAUGAGGCUCGAGUAAUGAUUAAUAGGGAUAGUUGGGGGCAUUAGUACUUAACUGUCAGAGGUGAAAUUCUCGGAUUUGUUAAAGACUAACUUAUGCAAAAGCAUUUGCCAAGGAUGUUUNCAUUAA
rnacentral:rRNA from 1 species